rnacentral:rRNA from 1 species
UACGGAGGGUGCAAGCGUUACUCGGAAUCACUGGGCGUAAAGCGCGCGCAGGCGGCUAUUUAAGUUGGAUGUGAAAGCCUAUGGCUCAACCAUAGAACUGCAUCCAAAACUAUUUAGCUAGAGUGUGGGAGAGGAAGAUGGAAUUAGUUGUGUAGGGGUAAAAUCCGUAGAGAUAACUAGGAAUACCAAAAGCGAAGGCAAUCUUCUGGAACACUACUGACGCUGAGGCGCGAAAGCGUGGGGAGCAAACGGGAUUAGAAACCCUUGUAGUCC